GUGGGUAUAUUAGGAAGCUU
rnacentral:miRNA from 1 species